GACAGAGGGUGCAAACGUUGUUCGGAAUUACUGGGCGUAAAGCGAGUGUAGGCGGUUUGGAAAGUCGGAUGUGAAAGCCCCGGGCUCAACCCGGGAAGUGCACUCGAUACUCCCAAGCUAGAGUAUCGGAGAGGUUGGCGGAACUCUCGGUGUAGAGGUGAAAUUCGUAGAUAUUCGGUGGAACACCAGUGGCGAAGGCGACUCGCUGGACUGAUACUGACGCUGAGGUGCGAAAGCGUGGGGAGCAAACAGG
rnacentral:rRNA from 1 species